rnacentral:rRNA from 1 species
UACGUAGGUGGCAAGCGUUGUCCGGAAUUAUUGGGCGUAAAGCGCGCGCAGGCGGCCUCUUAAGUCUGAUGUGAAAGCCCCCGGCUCAACCGGGGAGGGCCAUUGGAAACUGGGAGGCUUGAGUAUAGGAGGGAAGAGUGGAAUUCCACGUGUAGCGGUGAAAUGCGUAGAGAUGUGGGGGAACACCAGUGGCGAAGGCGACUCUUUGGCCUAUAACUGACGCUGAGGCGCGAAAGCGUGGGGAGCAAACAGG